UCUAUGUUUUCUUCUUUGUGUGUUAGCAUUAUGCACAGGUGUUCCUAUUUUUGUGGGUGUGUCUGUGUGUUGAGGUCAGAGGACAACCUUGAGCAUUGUUUUUUCUCAGGAAUUAUCUGCCUCAUGUUUUAUUGAAACAGGAUCUCUCAUUGGACUUAGAGCUUACCUACUAAGUAUCCAGAGACACUGUGAUGUUUGUCUUCUUGAUGGCUCAAUGUCACUGUAAACUUUGAAUCAUUAGAAAAGAGAUCAACAAUAAAAGAAGUUGAUCUCCAGCAUUCAGGUGUCUUAUAAAAACAAGAUCUUCAAACCUAGAAUCCUUUGGUUGACCUGUUAACAUACAUGUCUGGCAACCCAGAUCUGAAGCCUCUUUCUUCUGCCUUUUGAUGGGUGCAACUGAAAAGUGGAUGUUCCAGUGCUCUGAGCUGACAUCUGCACAGUGAGGGAUGGUCAGUGCGAAGGGAGUUGUGACGAGCAUAUCAGGAGGACCACAGGUGACUUCAGGACUCAGGAGCACCUCAGAUCCAUCUGACUGCAGGCUUCACAGAAGAGAAAGAAUAAGGCAGGCAAGCACGUGAAAGACGAGGGACUUUGAAUGAGAACUUAGUUACAGAUGGGGAUAGUCUACAAGCAGAGGGGAAUCCCUCUGGAGAAUGACCUGGAGAACAGGGCAUAGCCUCAGACUGCCCAGGCAUCCAGACUGACUUACUGUUAGGUCUCAACUGACUUCACCAACAAAUCAACAAAGAGACAACCAGCCAUUUGGAAAUAAAGGAAGGAAUCCAAGAACCCUAAAGUGCACCUGCAGAGCCAACCCCAGCUGACAAAUUAUCAUUCUUGCUAAUAUAUUCCUCAAUUAUCAUUCUCGUUAGCAUAUUCCUAUCAGUGAUAAGUCCCAAGAAUUCUACAGAUCUGACAUACUUGGUCGUCUUCUCACCAGAUCCCUUUCCCCAAACAACAUAUUCAAUAAUAUUUUAGUGCUAGUAAAUGAUGAAACAAGUUAUUAU